GUUCCCAACCGACCUCGCCGAGCCCAAAGGCGGCCGGCUGCCACCUCCUGCGGGCACCCCCGUGCCAGCCUCCGGCACGCAGGAGCUGCGCUGGCGGUGGGAUGCGGGCACCGGGCACAGCGGCGCCAGCGGCCAGGGCCGGCGGCGGAGCUGGAGAGCCGCGUCCCGCUGAGAGGAUGAAAACAUGGGGCUCAAGUUCUCCUGCCUGAAAGGCUUGAAGAUGUGCGUGAGCAGCGGGAACGGCAGCGAGGGGACCCCAGCGGGACAGAAGCACCUGCACGUGCCCUCCAUCAUCGUCACGCCUCCCACGCCCACGGGGACCACGCUGUCCCGCGAGGGCCGGCGCGGGGAGAGCCCCUCGCCCUGCAGCCCGUGCUGAGAGGGGACACGGGGGGACCCCCAGCCCGGCAGGAGCUGUCCCCUCUCCUCGGGAUGGAGCCCCCAGGCCACGGCCGGGCCGGACGAAGCUGCCAGGGACACGCGGGGCACCCACGCGGGUGGGUUUGGACAGCAGGGACCGGGGUUUGUCCCUUUUGCUAUUCCCCCCACGGCGAAUAAAAACCCGCACCCCCA